rfam:Theileria parva strain Muguga apicoplast, complete genome, whole genome shotgun sequence.
GUCGGUUUAGUUUAAAUUUUAAAACAAAUAAUUCCAGAUUAUUUAACUGAAAGUUAAAGUCUUUCAAUCGAUA